AGCACCGAGCGCUUCUUCUCGUUUCUUUUUUUCUCCCCUUCAUCUCUCUCUUUUUGCUUCAGAUCUGAAUCCUAGGGAAGCUCCGCGAGCUUCGGCCCCAAGAGCGAGCAGUGCGGAGCGCUAGCGGCAGGGGAGGUGCGGCGCGACGGCGGGAUUCCCGAGCGGCGGCGGUGGCGUCUCUAGUUGGUGGAGCUCCGCGAGCGGUGCGGCGCGACGCCGGCCUUCCUGAGGAGGCGCGACGGCCUUUCAAGGGAACCGUGACAGCGGUGGCAGGGACCUCCCCGGGCGCUCGCCCCUAGCGGCGGCGGCGAGCUUCACGGGGGUAACGGUGUUUUUUUCUUAUUUUUUUUCCUUUUUUUGUUGAUAGGAGAUUUGGGUGUUUUUUUGUUUUUUUUCAGGUGUGAUUCUGGUUUCGCGGCUAUUCGUAUCUGCUGUAGGGGGUGGGGGUUUACAGAUCAAGUUAGACUGCAUGUAAAAGGUAGAGCACCAGUAUUGUCGGUACGGAUUCAUGGUAGUCAAACAUAGCCAAUCCAUAUCAGUUUUUAUUUUCAGUUAUAUUCUGGUAGCUGUAUUAUCUUCACAGAUCAUUGAACUUUGAAUGUCCAAGUAUUUGAAUAGGGAUGCAGAGAUCUAGAGGGUUUCAAACACCUUUUUAUGAAUCUAGUAAUAGAUGUCACUAGUUUUUUUGAAUGAGUAUAUACCUUUUUUUUCUAAUAGCUAUAGACAAACCUUUUUUCAUUUUCUUUUUUGUACAGUAGAUGGAUGACAAUACUGAUUCGGAAGGUGUCCGGUCAAGUAAUUUUGUUUAUUGCUAAUGACUGGUAUAUUCUACCAUGACACAGACCAAAUUGACCAUCUGUGAAGGAGAAGAUGGCACUGAGUCAUCUAAUGGAGAUGUGUUGAUCUUUCCAGAUAUGAUCAGAUACAAAGCCUUCUAACUAAUAAGCUUGUUUAGGCUUUUAAAGCCAACUACUUCUUAUUUUUCAAUCUGUAACAUAAUGCUUGCAGAGGUCUGACUCAUUUUGACGUCGACAACUUUGUUGAAGAAGUACUUGUGAAGGAUACUGAGUGGCUUCCUAGAUCUCCUGAGGCUAUCAGCGAGUCCUAUGUCUUCACCUUCUUCAUCAUUUCUUUUAAUUAAAUUUUAUUUCUAUCUCUAUAAACCAGGGUGUAAUUCUGGAGAACAACAUUGCAGGGACCAGAAGGAGCCAUACUUGAAGAUUUCCAAACAGGCAUCAUUGUGUUGUUAGACCACUAAGUAACGUCAAAAAAAAGUUUGCAGGAUGAAAAUAUUUCUAUUUUUUAUGUGCACCUAAAUUCUGUUGGUUAUUGAA